CUCACUGAUUUUGGGUCCCGUUGUGAUCCGAACGUUUUGGGAACCCCGGGGUCCGGUUACGGGGAACUCGUUAAAACUCGCAGUUUUGGCUUAUUCUGCCGAGUUUUGUAAGAAUUACUCACUCAUAUUCCGUCCCGCUGCGAUCCGAACGUUUUGGGUACCCCGGGGUCCAGUUACGGGGAACUCGUGAAAACUCGCAGUUUUGGCCUAUUCCGGCCAGUUU
rnacentral:lncRNA from 1 species